rnacentral:rRNA from 1 species
CAAUAGCGUAUAUUAAAGUUGUUGCAAGUUAAAAAGCUCGUAGUUGGAUUUCUGGGAGGGUGCUAAUGUCCGCCGUAGCGCGUGUGCAGCCGCGCCCUUCCAUCCUUCUGUUAACGCCUCUUGGCAUUCAUUUGCUGGUGGCGGGCUCAGAUAUUUUACCUUGAGAAAAUUAGAGUGUUUCAGGCAGGCUAGGCCGGAAUAUAUUAGCAUGGAAUAAUAAGAUAGGACUUUGAGUCUAUUUUGUUGGUUUGCGAGUCAAAGUAAUGAUUAAUAGGGAUAGUUGGGGGCGAUUAGUACUUAAACUGUCAGAGGUGAAAUUCUCCGAUUUGUUAAAGAACUAAACUUAUGCGAAAGACAUUUGCCAAGGAAUGUUUUCUAUU